rnacentral:rRNA from 1 species
CCCUUAGAUGUUCUGGGCUGCACACGUGCUACACUGGCAGGUUCAGCGAGCUUCAUGCCCUGAUCUGAAAGGAAUGGGAAAUCUUUCCAAAACCUGCCGUGCUUGGGAUAGAUGUUUGCAAUUAUUCAUCUUCAACGAGGAUUGCCUUGUAAGCGCACGUCAUCAGCGUGCAUUGAAUACGACCCUGUAUUCUGUACACACCGCCCGUCGCUCCUACCGAUUGAAGUUUUCGGUGAGUUGACAGGAGGAUUUUUUUGAAACUGGUUCGCCAGUGGAUUUUAGAUCCAAAUGCCAACGAAUCGAUGGCUUUAGAGGAAGGAGAAGUCGUAACA